UUUUGUAUAAUGGGUCAGCGACUUAUAUUCUGUAGCAAGGUUAACCGAAUAGGGGAGCCGAAGGGAAACCGAGUCUUAACUGGGCGUUAAGUUGCAGGGUAUAGACCCGAAACCCGGUGAUCUAGCCAUGGGCAGGUUGAAGGUUGGGUAACACUAACUGGAGGACCGAACCGACUAAUGUUGAAAAAUUAGCGGAUGACUUGUGGCUGGGGGUGAAAGGCCAAUCAAACCGGGAGAUAGCUGGUUCUCCCCGAAAGCUAUUUAGGUAGCGCCUCGUGAAUUCAUCUCCGGGGGUAGAGCACUGUUUCGGCAAGGGGGUCAUCCCGACUUACCAACCCGAUGCAAACUGCGAAUACCGGAGAAUGUUAUCACGGGAGACACACGGCGGGUGCUAACGUCCGUCGUGAAGAGGGAAACAACCCAGACCGCCAGCUAAGGUCCCAAAGUCAUGGUUAAGUGGGAAACGAUGUGGGAAGGCCCAGACAGCCAGGAUGUUGGCUUAGAAGCAGCCAUCAUUUAAAGAAAGCGUAAUAGCUCACUGGUCGAGUCGGCCUGCGCGGAAGAUGUAACGGGGCUAAACCAUGCACCGAAGCUGCGGCAGCGACGCUUAUGCGUUGUUGGGUAGGGGAGCGUUCUGUAAGCCUGUGAAGGUGUACUGUGAGGUAUGCUGGAGGUAUCAGAAGUGCGAAUGCUGACAUAAGUAACGAUAAAGCGGGUGAAAAGCCCGCUCGCCGGAAGACCAAGGGUUCCUGUCCAACGUUAAUCGGGGCAGGGUGAGUCGACCCCUAAGGCGAGGCCGAAAGGCGUAGUCGAUGGGAAACAGGUUAAUAUUCCUGUACUUGGUGUUACUGCGAAGGGGGGACGGAGAAGGCUAUGUUGGCCGGGCGACGGUUGUCCCGGUUUAAGCGUGUAGGCUGGUUUUCCAGGCAAAUCCGGAAAAUCAAGGCUGAGGCGUGAUGACGAGGCACUACGGUGCUGAAGCAACAAAUGCCCUGCUUCCAGGAAAAGCCUCUAAGCAUCAGGUAACAUCAAAUCGUACCCCAAACCGACACAGGUGGUCAGGUAGAGAAUACCAAGGCGCUUGAGAGAACUCGGGUGAAGGAACUAGGCAAAAUGGUGCCGUAACUUCGGGAGAAGGCACGCUGAUAUGUAGGUGAAGCGACUUGCUCGUGGAGCUGAAAUCAGUCGAAGAUACCAGCUGGCUGCAACUGUUUAUUAAAAACACAGCACUGUGCAAACACGAAAGUGGACGUAUACGGUGUGACGCCUGCCCGGUGCCGGAAGGUUAAUUGAUGGGGUUAGCGGUAACGCGAAGCUCUUGAUCGAAGCCCCGGUAAACGGCGGCCGUAACUAUAACGGUCCUAAGGUAGCGAAAUUCCUUGUCGGGUAAGUUCCGACCUGCACGAAUGGCGUAAUGAUGGCCAGGCUGUCUCCACCCGAGACUCAGUGAAAUUGAACUCGCUGUGAAGAUGCAGUGUACCCGCGGCAAGACGGAAAGACCCCGUGAACCUUUACUAUAGCUUGACACUGAACAUUGAGCCUUGAUGUGUAGGAUAGGUGGGAGGCUUUGAAGUGUGGACGCCAGUCUGCAUGGAGCCGACCUUGAAAUACCACCCUUUAAUGUUUGAUGUUCUAACGUUGGCCCCUGAUCGGGGUUGCGGACAGUGUCUGGUGGGUAGUUUGACUGGGGCGGUCUCCUCCUAAAGAGUAACGGAGGAGCACGAAGGUUGGCUAAUCCUGGUCGGACAUCAGGAGGUUAGUGCAAUGGCAUAAGCCAGCUUGACUGCGAGCGUGACGGCGCGAGCAGGUGCGAAAGCAGGUCAUAGUGAUCCGGUGGUUCUGAAUGGAAGGGCCAUCGCUCAACGGAUAAAAGGUACUCCGGGGAUAACAGGCUGAUACCGCCCAAGAGUUCAUAUCGACGGCGGUGUUUGGCACCUCGAUGUCGGCUCAUCACAUCCUGGGGCUGAAGUAGGUCCCAAGGGUAUGGCUGUUCGCCAUUUAAAGUGGUACGCGAGCUGGGUUUAGAACGUCGUGAGACAGUUCGGUCCCUAUCUGCCGUGGGCGCUGGAGAACUGAGGGGGGCUGCUCCUAGUACGAGAGGACCGGAGUGGACGCAUCACUGGUGUUCGGGUUGUCAUGCCAAUGGCACUGCCCGGUAGCUAAAUGCGGAAGAGAUAAGUGCUGAAAGCAUCUAAGCACGAAACUUGCCCCGAGAUGAGUUCUCCCUGAGACUUU
rnacentral:rRNA from 1 species